CAGUAGCCCCAUGCCUCUCAAAAGUCUUCCCAUGCCUCCCUCUCUUCUUCCUCUUGGUUCUAACACCCAAGAGUAUUGGGCGUCCUCCAUCUCCACAGCCAAAAGGUGUUUGGCCAUCCCUCCUUGCUUACUGAUUUUUAGAUCUUGGUUACUUCAUUAUCAAGAAAAGAAAAGCAAGAAAAGAAAAGAUGAAAAAGAUCAAGAAAAGGAUCAAAGAGUUGAUCGCAAUCCAGAUUUCAUUCAGAUUCGCAAGGUGAUCAUUCUUAGAAAAAAAGAUCAACACUAUAGAGGACUGUUCUAGACCGAUUCUGAGUAGAUAUCCAUAG
rnacentral:lncRNA from 1 species